rnacentral:misc_RNA from 1 species
UACGUAGGGCGCGAGCGUUAUCCGGAAUUAUUGGGCGUAAAGCGCUUGUAGGCGGUUUUUCACGUCUGCUGUGAAAGCCCCGGGCUUAACUCCGGGUGUGCAGUUGGUACGGGCAGGCUAGAGUGCAGUAGGGGAGACUGGAAUUCCUGGUGUAGCGGUGAAGUGCGCAGAUAUCAGGAGGAACACCGAUGGCGAAGGCAGGUCUCUGGGCUGUUACUGACGCUGAGAAGCGAAAGCAUGGGUAGCGAACAGA